UACGAGGGGGGCUAGCGUUGUUCGGAAUUACUGGGCGUAAAGCGCGCGCAGGCGGUUCUUCAAGUCAGAGGUGAAAGCCCAGGGCUCAACCCUGGAAUGGCCUUUGAGACUAGAGGACUAGGGUACGGGAGAGGUGAGUGGAAUUCCGAGUGUAGAGGUGAAAUUCGUAGAUAUUCGGAAGAACACCAGUGGCGAAGGCGGCUCACUGGCCCGUUACCGACGCUCAGGCGCGACAGCGUGGGGAGCAAACAGG
rnacentral:rRNA from 1 species